GACGAACGCUGGCGGCGUGCUUAACACAUGCAAGUCGAACGAUGAAACCUAGCUUGCUAGGUCGAUUAGUGGCGAACGGGUGAGUAACACGUGACUAACCUGCCCCUUUCUCUGGGGUAACGCUACGAAAGGAGUGCUAAUACCGGAUACUCACAUCGAGGCACAUGCCUUGAUGUGGAAAGUUUUUCGGAAAGGGAUGGAGUCGCGGUCUAUCAGCUUGUUGGUGAGGUAACGGCUCACCAAGGCGCCGACGGGUAGGCGGCCUGAGAGGGCGACCGGCCACACGGUGCCGGGGACGCGGCCCAUACUCCUACGGGAGGCAGCAGUGGGGAAGAGUGCACAAUGGGCGCAAGCCUGAUGCAGCGACGCGGCGUGAGGGAUGAAGGUCUUCUGAUUGUAAACCUCUUUCAGUAGGGACGAAGCGAAAGUGACGGUACCUAAAGAAGAAGCACCGGCUAACUACGUGCCAGCCGCCGCCGUAA
rnacentral:rRNA from 1 species